UUGCUCUCAUCCUACUUUCUUGUGCUUUGCCCCUCCCCUUUCCCAGGUGAUUGAGUUUGGGUGCUGGACGGGGCUAAAUGCUAUAUGAGCCCCAGGCAUGCCAUCAGAGAGCUCCUUCUGCCUGGGCUGCUCUUUGGGGACUAAAACCAGCUUGACUGCAUGCUACCUGUGGCUUGACAGCAUAGAUGCAGCAUUAUCAAGAGACUGAGCAGAGUUGUAUCAGAGUCACCUUUUUUAUCUGCAGAGUGCUUUGUGCAGUUGUGGAGAGGGAAGGGAAAUCCUCAUGUCACGAAGCUCUGAGGAAAGGUGGUGUGGAUGAUACUGGCUGCACUGUUGGAGCUUGGACUCGGAGAGGAACACGUGAGCACAAUCCUGAUGAUGAGCCUUCAAUUGACUAAGAUGACAAUCAGUGCCUGUGCAUUUCUUGAGGCG